GCUUGUCUCAAAGAUUAAGCCAUGCAUAUCUAAGAAUAACUAACAUUAUCUUGAAUCUGUGAAUGGCUCAUUAUAUCAGUUAUAGUUUACAUGAUAGUCAAUACUACUUGGAUAACCGUAGUAAUUCUAGAGCUAAUACAUGCAUAAAGACCCGACUUCUGGAAGGGUUGUAUUUAUUAGAAUAAAACCAAACGGCUUCGGCCGUCUCAUUGGUGACUCUGAAUAACUUUGGGCUGAUCGUAUGGCCUUGUGCCGACGACGUUUCCUUCGAAGGUGUGCCCUAUCAACUGUCGACUGUGAUAUAGACGCUCACAGUGGUUUUGACGGGUAACGGGGAAUCAGGGUUCGAUUCCGGAGAGGGAGCCUUAAAAACGGCUACCACAUCCAAGGAAGGCAGCAGG
rnacentral:rRNA from 1 species